rnacentral:lncRNA from 1 species
UGAUAUUUGCCAAAGACACUUCCUUUGUGCCAUUCAUGCUAAGCUUUUCAUGUCACACACAAAGGACCCAUGGGUAUAUUCCGAAUGUGAACAACCUUGGCUUGAUGACAUAUGUGAUAGUUUCAGAUUGCCCUUCUCUUUCCUUGAUGUUUAUCUUAGCCAUGUCCUUUGUGAUGCUUGUGGUAUGUGUUUCAUGAUCAUAACAAAGGAUUGUUGGUUGUAUUCCAAAAGUGUACCCCCUUGGCA